rnacentral:snRNA from 1 species
UCUCUUACCUGGCAGGGGAGAUACCAUAACCACUGAAGGUGGUUUUCCUAGGGCGAGGCUUACCCAUUGUACUCCGGGUGUGCUGACUCCUGCGAUUUCCCAAAAUGUGGGAAACUCGACUGCAUAGUUUGUGGUGGUCUGUGUAUUAAUAGGUUAGUAUAUUAG